AGUAACCCCAGAGUGCAGUCUGGACGAUGGGGCGGGGCGACACUUCGAGGCGGAGCGACACGUGUCGCCCCGCCCAUAUUUGUUUUCCCCGCCUUUGACAUUUUCCUCCGAGCCAGCAGGGGGCAGUUUGCGUUGAAACAAACAGAACGGUGGCAACUACAGCAGCAGAGUAAUAACGCUAUUCCGUUGAUUGCUUGAGUACACUCUGUACAUGGCUUUAGUUCAUAGGUUCGAUUUUACAGAGGUAUGGCAUCACAUUUGUCAAGUUAUUUGAACAGACAUGCAUGAUUUUUGUGUGUAUAUUAUUAUUAUUAUUAUUUUUCAGGAUGACAUGAUCAGGAGGUGGUGGUGUUCUGUUCUCCUGGACAGCUUUACUCCGCAAAUAGCUCAACCACUGAGGGGAGGAACUUCACCAUUCACCAUGUCUUCAGGCAGAGUCCAGCAAAGCAGCUUCCACUGGAAAUCCUCAGGGAAGUUAUUUUGUCGGCGGGUGACUCUGCAUAUUUGACACUUUCUCUGGUUUGCAGAUGGUUUAGGGAUGUGCUCCGAAGUUUUUCGGAAAGCGGCAAAGUUUGCUUGGCUAGACCGUAAGAUUUCC